rnacentral:rRNA from 1 species
AAUAGAUACCCGGGUAGUCCACGCCCUAAACGAUGUCGACUAGGUGUUGGGGAAGCGAUUCCUUGGUACCGUAGCUAACGCGUGAAGUCGACCGCCUGGGGAGUACGGCCGCAAGGUUAAAACUCAAAGGAAUUGACGGGGACCCGCACAAGCGGUGGAUGAUGUGGAUUAAUUCGAUGCAACGCGAACAACCUUACCUACCCUUGACAUGUCCGGAACCCUGCUGAAAGGUGGGGUGCCCGAAAGGGAAUCGGAACACAGGUGCUGCAUGGCUGUCGUCAGCUCGUGUCGUGAGAUGUUGGGUUAAGUCCCGCAACGAGCGCAACCCUUGUCCCUAGUUGCUACGCAAGGGCACUCUAGGGAGACUGCCGGUGACAAACCGGAGGAAGGUGGGGAUGACGUCAAGUCCUCAUGGCCCUUAUGGGUAGGGCUUCACACGUCAUACAAUGGACGGUACAGAGGGUUGCCAACCCGGCGAGGGGGAGCCAAUCCCAGAAAGCCGUUCGUAGUCCGGAUCGCAGUCUGCAACUCGACUGCGUGAAGUCGGAAUCGCUAGU